AGGCAAGAUGCUGGCAUAGCUGU
rnacentral:ncRNA from 12 species